rnacentral:rRNA from 1 species
AGUGAACGCUGGCGGUAGGCCUAACACAUGCAAGUCGAACGGCAGCACAGUAAGAGCUUGCUCUUACGGGUGGCGAGUGGCGGACGGGUGCUGAAUACAUCGGAAUCUACUUUUUCGUGGGGGAUAACGCAGGGAAACUUACGCUAAUACCGCAUACGACCUACGGGUGAGAUCAGGGGAUCUUCGGACCUUGCGCGAUUGAAUGAGCCGAUGUCGGAUUAGCUAGUUGGCGGGGUAAAGGCCCACCAAGGCGACGAUCCGUAGCUGGUCUGAGAGGAUGAUCAGCCACACUGGAACUGAGACACGGUCCAGACUCCUACGGGAGGCAGCAGUGGGGAAUAUUGGACAAUGGGCGAAAGCCUGAUCCAGCCGUACCGCGUGUGUGAAGAAGGUCUUCGGGUUGUAAAGCCCUUUUAUUGGGAAAGAAAAGCAGCAGGUUAAUACCCCGCUGUUCUGACGGUACCAAAAGAAUAAGCACCGGCUAACUUCGUG